UACGUAGGGUGCGAGCGUUAAUCGGAAUUACUGGGCGUAAAGCGUGCGCAGGCGGUUUUGUAAGCCAGAUGUGAAAUCCCCGGGCUUAACCUGGGAAUGGCAUUUGGGACUGCAAGGCUUGAGUGCGGCAGAGGGGACUGGAAUUCCUGGUGUAGCAGUGAAAUGCGUAGAUAUCAGGAGGAACACCGAUGGCGAAGGCAGGUCUCUGGGCUGACACUGACGCUCAUGCACGAAAGCGUGGGGAGCAAACAGG
rnacentral:rRNA from 1 species